AUUGAACGCUGGCGGCAUGCUUUACACAUGCCAGUCGAACGGUAACAGGCCGCAAGGUGCUGACGAGUGGCGAACGGGUGAGUAAUGCAUCGGAACGUGCCCAGUCGUGGGGGAUAACUACUCGAAAGAGUAGCUAAUACCGCAUACGAUCUAUGGAUGAAAGCGGGGGACCGUAAGGCCUCGCGCGAUUGGAGCGGCCGAUGUCAGAUUAGGUAGUUGGUGGGGUAAAGGCUCACCAAGCCAACGAUCUGUAGCUGGUCUGAGAGGACGACCAGCCACACUGGGACUGAGACACGGCCCAGACUCCUACGGGAGGCAGCAGUGGGGAAUUUUGGGCAAUGGGCGCAAGCCUGAUCCAGCAAUGCCGCGUGCAGGAAGAAGGCCUUCGGGUUGUAAACUGCUUUUGUACGGAACGAAACGGCUCUGGUUAAUACCCGGGGCUAAUGACGGUACCGUAAGAAUAAGCACCGGCUAACUACGUG
rnacentral:rRNA from 1 species